rnacentral:rRNA from 1 species
AUUGAACGCUGGCGGCAGGCCUAACACAUGCAAGUCGAGCGGAUGAGAGGAGCUUGCUUCUCGAUUCAGCGGCGGACGGGUGAGUAAUGCCUAGGAAUCUGCCUGGUAGUGGGGGACAACGUUUCGAAAGGAACGCUAAUACCGCAUACGUCCUACGGGAGAAAGCAGGGGACCUUCGGGCCUUGCGCUAUCAGAUGAGCCUAGGUCGGAUUAGCUAGUAGGUGAGGUAAUGGCUCACCUAGGCGACGAUCCGUAACUGGUCUGAGAGGAUGAUCAGUCACACUGGAACUGAGACAAGGUCCAGACUCCGACGGGAGGCAGCAGUGGGGAAUAUUGUACAAUGGGCGAGAGCCUGAUCCAGCCAUGCCGCGUGUGUGAAGAAGGUCUUCGGAUUGUAAAGCACUUUAAGUUGGGAGGAAGGGCAGUAAGUUAAUACCUUGCUGUUUUGACGUUACCGACAGAAUAAGCACCGGCUAACUCUGUGCCAGCCGCCGCCGUAACAC